rnacentral:lncRNA from 1 species
CCCAGGUGUGGCCAGGAACGCCCAGGUAUAGCCUGGACCCCCCCCAGGUGUGGCCAGGAACGCCCAGGUAUAGCCUGGACCCCCCCAGGUGUGGCCAGGAACUCCCACGUGUAGCCAGGACCCCCACAGGUGUGACCAGGACCCCGUUAGGUGUGGCCCUGGCCCCCCCAGGUAUGGCCUGGACCCCCCCCAGGUGUGGCCCUGAGCCCUGCACCGACCCCACAGUGCAGGGUGGGCUGAGGGCAGGGAGGUCUGUGCAGGACAGAUGUGUAAAUGGACAGGUGUGUAAAUGGACAGGUGUGUGAGGUACAGGUGUGUAAAUGGACAGGUGUGUAAAUGGACAGGUGUGUGAGGUACAGGUGUGUAAAUGGACAGGUGUGUGAGGUACAGGUGUGUAAAUGGACAGGGAUGUAAAUGGACAGGUGUGUGGCAGGUAUGGCAGGUACAGGUGUGUGUCAGGUACAGGUGUACCAGGUACAGGUGUGUCAGGUACAGAUGUGUUCCAGGUACAGGUGUGUAUCAGGUACAGGUGUGUCAGGUACAGGUGUGCCAGGUACAGGUGUGUCAGGUACAGGUGUACCAGGUACAGGUGUGUUCCAGGUACAGGUGUGUCAGGUACAGGUGUGCCAGGUACAGGUGUGUAUCAGGUACAGGUGUACCAGGUACAGGUGUGUAUCAGGUACAGGUGUGCCAGG